CUCUUUAUUCAUUCUAUGGGUUGGUGUUGCAUGGAAAUUUUAAAUUGGUGGACUGAUUUGUGUGGUUAAUUCCGUUAACGAGCGGAGCCUGGCUUUGCUAAAUAAUUACACGUACCAACGGUUACAUAGGCAACUUCUUAGAAGGACUUUGCAUGUCUCCCGCAAGGAAGCUUGACGCAAUAACAAAUUUGUGAUGCCUU
rnacentral:rRNA from 10 species